CGAUUGCCAGGUGAAGGCAACCCUGACUCCUGGAGUUUGGCGCCCUGAAGUUCAUGUGACAGCCAGUAGACCAGAUAAGCCAUGCUCCGCUGGGCAGCUCGGUUGGAUCACUGGAGAGCCUUCUUCCUGCUCAUGAGUCUCACUCCCCAGAUGGCUUGGCUCUCCGGGAUCCACCUACUUCAGGAGGUGAAGAGUUUGAAGAAUGAAAUCCAAAGGUGGACGGCAAGUUCAAGUCCCACCUCAACAUUUUGGAGAAGCCCUAAGCAACUAAGCCAGACCCUGUCUCAAAAUAUUUACGGAGGAGUUGGAGAUGUAGCACUGUGAUUUCUCUGUUGACUUCUGCAGUAAACCACCUUAAAGCGAAUGUUAAGUCAGCUGGGGACUUAAUUAGCCUGCCUACAACUGUAUAGG